GCAGACUUCUUACGGCACAAGGGCACAUGACGCUGGUGUUUGAGUUUCUCUUCCUCUGUGGACACUUCAACCAAAUCAGCCACAAAUACACACACAGCUGUACAUCUUCACACCUGUUUGCAAAACAUCAUGGGUAAAGGCGCAGGAGAGGAGUGGGAUGACAGGGACCUGGAGACGUAUCCGGAAGACGACAAGCCCUCCAAGGUGGUUGACUCCCAGCCCAAAAAGUCCAAAGAGAAGGAAAGUUCUGGAGGAGGCUGUCCCAAAUGCUGCAUCCAAACCCGGAACUGUCUGAUGAGUCCGGAGUGCGGGAGAGCUCUGCAGAUCUCCAGCGUGGUGGCGAUGUGUGGCAUGUGUCUGCGUAUGUUUGUCUAAUCUAAUCUCGGGGGUCAUCUCAUCUCCACGCGUUGCCAUGGUGAUCAGGAGGCUUCAGGAGGAAACUCAACCUUCAGUCCUAUUAACAAAGAUGAUUAAUACAAGCUUAAAACUGUUUUUUUUUUCUCUCCACACUAUUUAUUGGAUCAGAUUAUCCAUGCCGCUCUGUACAAAGUGUAAGUAGGACAAACCCAAUGAAGAGAUAUUAAAAUCUAAGAAGGAAUCUAGUUUUGAUUUAUUAGUGGUGUGGAACAAGUUUGACUCACUGUUGUCUACCUGAACAAAUGUACAUAGUGUUUUUAUAGACUUUAAUAAAAUCCGUACAGCCAAGAA